AGGUGGUGGUAGCUUCACCUUGUCCCCUGAUAGGAUAGGUGGUGGUAGCUUCACCUUGUCCCCUGAUAGGAUAGGUGGUGGUAGCUUCACCUUGUCCCCUGAUAGGAUAGGUGGUGGUAGCUUCACCUUGUCCCCUGAUAGGAUAGGUGGUGGUAGCUUCACCUUGUCCCCUGAUAGGAUAGGUGGUGGUAGCUUCACCUUGUCCCCUGAUAGGAUAGGUGGUGGUAGCUUCACCUUGUCCCCUGACAGGAUAGGUGGUGGUAGCUUCACCUUGUCCCCUGAUAGGAUAGG